rnacentral:rRNA from 1 species
AGCCACUGCUAUCGGGCUCCGACUAAGCCAUGCGAGUCUAGGGGCUCCUUCGGGAGCACCGGCGGACGGCUCAGUAACACGUGGACAACCUACCCUCGGGUGGGGGAUAACCUCGGGAAACUGAGGCUAAUACCCCAUAGGCCUCGGAUACUGGAAGGUUCUGAGGCUGAAAGCCCCGGCGCCCGAGGAUGGGUCUGCGGCCUAUCAGGUAGUUGGUGGUGUAAAGGACCACCAAGCCUACGACGGGUACGGGCCCUGAGAGGGGUAGCCCGGAGAUGGACUCUGAGACACGAGUCCAGGCCCUACGGGGCGCAGCAGGCGCGAAACCUUCGCAAUGCGCGAAAGCGCGACGAGGGGAGCCCGAGUGCCCUUCCUUUUGGGAGGGCUUUUCCGGAGUCUAAAAAGCUCCGGGAAUAAGGGCUGGGCAAGACGGGUGCCAGCCGCCGCGGUAAUACCCGCAGCUCGAGUGGUGGCCACUAUUAUUGAGCCUAAAGCGUCCGUAGCCGGACCCGCAAAUCCCUGGGUAAAUCCUGGUGCUCAACAUCAGGAAUUCCGGGGAGACUGCGGGUCUUGGGACCGGGAGAGGCCGGAGGUACUCCCGGGGUAGGGGUAAAAUCCUGUAAUCCCGGGGGGACCACCUGUGGCGAAAGCGUCCGGCUUGAACGGCUCCGACGGUGGGGGACGAAGGCCAGGGGAGCAAACCGGAUUAGAUACCCGGGUAGUCCUGGCUGUAAACGCUGCCCGCUUGGUGUUGUCGGUCUCUCGGGGGCCGGCAGUGCCGGAGCGAAGGUGUUAAGCGGGCCGCUUGGGGAGUACGGCCGCAAGGCUGAAACUUAAAGGAAUUGGCGGGAGAGCACUGCAACGGGAGGAGCGUGCGGUUU